rnacentral:rRNA from 1 species
UAACGCGAAGAACCUUACCAAGGCUUGACAUGGACCGGAUCGCCGCAGAAAUGUGGUUUCUCCUUUGGGGCCGGUUCACAGGUGGUGCAUGGUUGUCGUCAGCUCGUGUCGUGAGAUGUUGGGUUAAGUCCCGCAACGAGCGCAACCCUCGUUCCAUGUUGCCAGCACGUAGUGGUGGGGACUCAUGGGAGACUGCCGGGGUCAACUCGGAGGAAGGUGGGGACGACGUCAAAUCAUCAUGCCCCUUAUGUCUUGGGCUUCACGCAUGCUACAAUGGCCGGUACAAAGGGUUGCGAUACUGUGAGGUGGAGCUAAUCCCAAAAAGCCGGUCUCAGUUCGGAUUGGGGUCUGCAACUCGACCCCAUGAAGUCGGAGUCGCUAGUAAUCGCAGAUCAGCAACGCUGCGGUGAAUACGUUCCCGGGUCUUGUACACACCGA